UACGUAGGCAGCGAGCGUUGUUCGGAGUUACUGGGCGUAAAGAGUGCGUAGGUGGUUCUCUAAGUUUGGUGUGAAAUCUCCCGGCUCAACUGGGAGGGUGCGCCGAAAACUGGAGGGCUGGAGUGUGGGAGAGGAAAGCGGAAUUCCUGGUGUAGCGGUGAAAUGCGUAGAUAUCAGGAGGAACACCUGCGGUGUAGACGGUUUUCUGGACCACUACUGACACUGAGGCACGAAAGCGUGGGGAG
rnacentral:rRNA from 1 species